GCAAGGAAAUCGAUAAUAAAAACAGAAUUAGAUUGAAUUUCCCCCAUCAAAGGAUAUUCAUCUCAAAACUAUUACACAUAGAUAAUGGGUAAACAAAAGCAGAAACAGAAAGAAACUAAAAUAAGAUUAAAAAAAUCAAGGUCCAGUCAUGUGUUGAGUAUAGAUGUAGUCUGUAUGUUCAGCCAUAAACCUCCUAAUCAAGCACUCUUCUUCACUUUCUAAUCCAGAAC
rnacentral:misc_RNA from 1 species